rnacentral:rRNA from 1 species
UUGCUAAGCGGCACCUCUAAUCUUGGGGCUCAACCUCAAGCCGGGUCCCGAACUGGCAGCCUCGAGUGCUGUAGGGGUAAGCGGAAUUCCCGGUGUAGCGGUGGAAUGCGCAGAUAUCGGGAAGAACACCGAUGGCGAAGGCAGCUCUCUGGGCCGUCACUGACGCUGAGGCGCGAAAGCUGGGGGAGCGAACAG